AACGAACGCUGGCGGCAGGCUUAACACAUGCAAGUCGAACGCCCCGCCAGGGGAGUGGCAGACGGGUGGGUAACGCGUGGGAACAUACCCAUUUCUACGGAAUAGCCCUGUGAAACUGGAAUUAAUACCGUAUACGCCCUACGGGGGAAAGAUUUAUCGGGGAAGGAUUGGCCCUCGUUGGAUUAGCUAGUUGGUGGGGUAAAGGCGUAUCAAUGCGACGAUCCAUAGCUGGUCUCAGAGGAUGAUCAGCCACAUUGGGACUGGGACACCGCCCAGACUCCUACGCGAGGGAGCAAAGGGGGAUAUUGCAAAACGGGGUCAAUGCUGAUCCAGCCAUGCUGCGAGAGUGAUGAAGUCCUUAGAGAUGUAAAGCUCUUUCACCGAUGAAGAUAAUGACGGUAGUCGAAGAAGAAGCCCCGGCUAACUUCGUG
rnacentral:rRNA from 1 species